AGCAGCCGCGGUAAUUCCAGCUCCAAUAGCGUAUAUUAAAGUUGUUGCAGUUAAAAAGCUCGUAGUUGAAUUUCGGGAUCAGCAGGUUGGUCGUGCCUUUGGUUCGUACUGGUCUCGCUGGUUCCUCCUUUCUGAAGAACUGUAAUGUCAUUAAUUUGGUGUUGCAGGGAAACAGGACUGUUACUUUGAAAAAAUUAGAGUGUUUAAAGCAGGCUAACGCUUGAAUACAUUAGCAUGGAAUAAUGAAAUAGGACGUUUGAUCCUAUUUUGUUGGUUUCUAGGAUUGACGUAAUGAUUAAUAGGGAUAGUUGGGGGCAUUAGUAUUCAAUUGUCAGAGGUGAAAUUCUUGGAUUUAUUGAAGACUAACUACUGCGAAAGCAUUUGCCAAGGAUGUUUUC
rnacentral:rRNA from 1 species